rnacentral:rRNA from 1 species
UAACACAUGCAAGUCGAACGAGCGAGAGAGAGCUUGCUUUCUCGAGCGAGUGGCGAACGGGUGAGUAACGCGUGAGGAACCUGCCUCAAAGAGGGGGACAACAGUUGGAAACGACUGCUAAUACCGCAUAAGCCCACGGCUCGGCAUCGAGCAGAGGGAAAAGGAGCAAUCCGCUUUGAGAUGGCCUCGCGUCCGAUUAGCUAGUUGGUGAGGUAACGGCCCACCAAGGCAACGAUCGGUAGCCGGACUGAGAGGUUGAACGGCCACAUUGGGACUGAGACACGGCCCAGACUCCUACGGGAGGCAGCAGUGGGGAAUAUUGCACAAUGGGGGAAACCCUGAUGCAGCGACGCCGCGUGGAGGAAGAAGGUCUUCGGAUUGUAAACUCCUGUUGUUGGGGAAGAUAAUGACGGUACCCAACAAGGAAGUGACGGCUAACUACGUGCCAGCAGCCGCGGUAAAACGUAGGUCACAAGCGUUGUCCGGAAUUACUGGGUGUAAAGGGAGCGCAGGCGGGAAGACAAGUUGGAAGUGAAAUCUAUGGGCUCAACCCAUAAACUGCUUUCAAAACUGUUUUUCUUGAGUAGUGCAGAGGUAGGCGGAAUUCCCGGUGUAGCGGUGGAAUGCGUAGAUAUCGGGAGGAACACCAGUGGCGAAGGCGGCCUACUGGGCACCAACUGACGCUGAGGCUCGAAAGUGUGGGUAGCAAACAGGAUUAGAUACCCUGGUAGUCCACACCGUAAACGAUGAUUACUAGGUGUUGGAGGAUUGACCCCUUCAGUGCCGCAGUUAACACAAUAAGUAAUCCACCUGGGGAGUACGACCGCA